GGAAAGCCAUAGCUCAGUGAUACAGCAUCUUCCCUGAAUGCAAAAGGUUCCAGGUUCAAUCCCAGGUGUCUCCC